AUCUAAGUACCCCGAGGAAAAGAAAUCAACCGAGAUUCCCCCAGUAGCGGCGAGCGAACGGGGAGGAGCCCAGAGCCUGAAUCAGCAUGUGUGUUAGUGGAAGCGUCUGGAAAGGCGCGCGAUACAGGGUGACAGCCCCGUACACAAAAGCGCAUGUGCUGUGAGCUCGAUGAGUAGGGCGGGACACGUGGUAUCCUGUCUGAAUAUGGGGGGACCAUCCUCCAAGGCUAAAUACUCCUGACUGACCGAUAGUGAACCAGUACCGUGAGGGAAAGGCGAAAAGAACCCCGGCGAGGGGAGUGAAAAAGAACCUGAAACCGUGUACGUACAAGCAGUGGGAGCACAGGUUUACCUGUGUGACUGCGUACCUUUUGUAUAAUGGGUCAGCGACUUAUAUUCUGUAGCAAGGUUAACCGUAUAGGGGAGCCGGAGGGAAACCGAGUCUUAAUUGGGCGUUAAGUUGCAGGGUAUAGACCCGAAACCCGGUGAUCUAGCCAUGGGCAGGUUGAAGGUUGGGUAACACUAACUGGAGGACCGAACCGACUAAUGUUGAAAAAUUAGCGGAUGACCUGUGGCUGGGGGUGAAAGGCCAAUCAAACCGGGAGAUAGCUGGUUCUCCCCGAAAGCUAUUUAGGUAGCGCCUCGUGAAUUCAUCUCCGGGGGUAGAGCACUGUUUCGGCUAGGGGGCCAUCCCGGCUUACCAACCCGAUGCAAACUGCGAAUACCGGAGAAUGUUAUCACGGGAGACACACGGCGGGUGCUAACGUCCGUCGUGAAGAGGGAAACAACCCAGACCGCCAGCUAAGGUCCCAAAGUCAUGGUUAAGUGGGAAACGAUGUGGGAAGGCCCAGACAGCCAGGAUGUUGGCUUAGAAGCAGCCAUCAUUUAAAGAAAGCGUAAUAGCUCACUGGUCGAGUCGGCCUGCGCGGAAGAUGUAACGGGGCUAAACCAUGCACCGAAGCUGCGGCAGCGAACGUAUCACCCAAGACAACUUUACGGAGUUGACGAUUGACGGAGCGAAGCGACGUCAAAGCGUUCAUUAAAGUCGAGUUGGCUUAGGGAUACGUUCGUUGGGUAGGGGAGCGUUCUGUAAGCCUGUGAAGGUGUGUCGUGAGGCAUGCUGGAGGUAUCAGAAGUGCGAAUGCUGACAUAAGUAACGAUAAAGCGGGUGAAAAGCCCGCUCGCCGGAAGACCAAGGGUUCCUGUCCAACGUUAAUCGGGGCAGGGUGAGUCGACCCCUAAGGCGAGGCCGAAAGGCGUAGUCGAUGGGAAACGGGUUAAUAUUCCCGUACUUGGUGUUACUGCGAAGGGGGGACGGAGAAGGCUAUGUUGGCCGGGCGACGGUUGUCCCGGUUUAAGCGUGUAGGUGUGUGUUCCAGGUAAAUCCGGUU
rnacentral:rRNA from 1 species